rfam:Felis catus isolate Cinnamon breed Abyssinian chromosome B1, whole genome shotgun sequence.
GCCUAGAUGGCUCAGUCGGUUGAGCGUCUGACUUCAGCUCAGGUCAUGAUCUCGAGGUUUGUGAGAUCCAGCCCCACGUUGGGCU